rnacentral:rRNA from 1 species
AUUGAACGCUGGUGGCAGGCUUAUCACAUGCAAGUCGAACGGUAACAGGAAUUAGCUUGCUCAUUUGCUGACGAGUGGCGGACGGGUGAGUAAUGCUUGGGAAUCUGGCUUAUGGAGGGGGAUAACUACGGGAAACUGUAGCUAAUACCGCGUAAAAUCUUCGGAUUAAAGGGUGGGACUUUCGAGCCACCUGCCAUAAGAUGAGCCCAAGUGGGAUUAGGUAGUUGGUUAGGUAAAGGCUGACCAAGCCGACGAUCUCUAGCUGGUCUGAGAGGAUGACCAGCCACACUGGAACUGAGACACGGUCCAGACUCCUACGGGAGGCAGCAGUGGGGAAUAUUGCACAAUGGGGGGAACCCUGAUGCAGCCAUGCCGCGUGAAUGAAGAAGGCCUUCGGGUUGUAAAGUUCUUUCGGUGACGAGGAAGGUUGAUAGGUUAAUAGCCUAUCAAAUUGACGUUAAUCACAGAAGAAGCACCGGCUAACUCCGUG